AGUGAACGCUGGCGGUAGGCCUAACACAUGCAAGUCGAACGGCAGCACAGUAAGAGCUUGCUCUUACGGGUGGCGAGUGGCGGACGGGUGAGGAAUACAUCGGAAUCUACUUUUUCGUGGGGGAUAACGUAGGGAAACUUACGCUAAUACCGCAUACGACCUACGGGUGAAAGCAGGGGAUCUUCGGACCUUGCGCGGUUGAAUGAGCCGAUGUCGGAUUAGCUAGUUGGCGGGGUAAAGGCCCACCAAGGCGACGAUCCGUAGCUGGUCUGAGAGGAUGAUAAGCCACACUGGAACUGAGACACGGUCCAGACUCCUACGGGAGGCAGCAGUGGGGAAUAUUGGACAAUGGGCGCAAGCCUGAUCCAGCCAUACCGAGUGGGUGAAGAAGGCCUUCGGGUUGUAAAGACCUUUUGUUGGGAAAGAAAAGCAGCAGGUUAAUACCACGCUGUUCUGACGGUACCCAAAGAAUAAGCACCGGCUAACUUCGUG
rnacentral:rRNA from 1 species